UCCACUUCGGUAGAGCUCCAGUUGAGCACAC
rnacentral:piRNA from 1 species